rnacentral:lncRNA from 1 species
UACAAAACUAAUUAAUCUAUCUGAUUACUAACUCUGCUACAUUAAGUGUCAAAGCCUCAAUUUCGGAUUUUAGUUUAAUAAAUGCUAGAUGAGAAUGAUCACAGGACUUAAGAAUUGAAAUGGAGAUAUAAUAUAUAUCCAUUUAAAGUAAUCAAAGAUUAAAAUUGAAAGUGAAAAACAAUAGUCACUCUCGAUCCAAAACUGAAAGUAAAACAUAAUAUCAUUCUCCAAAGCAAUCCAAAACUCAAAUUAAGACAUAAUAUUGAUUAUAAAAUGCAAUCCAAAACUAAAAUUGAAAUCCAUGUCUCAUAUAUUAUUUACUUGAUGAUAUGAAUAUUCAUUCUCCAAACCUUCCAAAUCAUUAUCACCAAUAGCACAUAAAUAAUUCCUAAAAACAUAAAAAUAACACUAAAGCCUUGUAUUAUGGCAUACCUUGAAUGGAAAUGUAUGACUGUUAACAACAACCAAAAUACCCAUUCCUAUAUUAGGGUUUUUAUCAAAUAAAAUAUUAAACAAAGGCACAAACCUAUUCCCAAAUAAUGAAAUUACAAUGAUUUACCUGGUUUCAUUCUACUGCCGAUUUAAUUUCAUAUGUGAAUGGGCAGAUCUAGUUGAAGACGACAUGUGUGGCGCCGCCGCGGCGGUGAGUAGUGGGGGAUUGAAAACCUACGAGGGGAGGAGCAAAAAUUGGGAAUUUUUGGGACCUUUGCAUUUUUAUACUUUUCCCAACGAUCGGAGGCGACAAUCGACAAAGAAUGAAGGCAAGAGGAUGGGUGGUCGAGGUUGGAUGAAAGGAACAAUGGCGGCAGAGGACUUCAGGGAAGUAGGGAAAGUGAUAAAGUGAAA